UUUAAGUAUUUCAUUCUUUCCUCCGAAAUUUAACAACAAAGCUUUCCACUCCUUCCGCCUCAACCCUCUCUCUCUCCCCACGCACCCUUCGCUCUUCCUCGCGCGGCCCUCCCACACUCGCCGCUCCUUCCUCGUCAAAGCCUCCUCUAGUGAGCUUCCGCUUGUUGGAAAUACUGCACCGGAUUUUGAAGCCGAGGCUGUGUUUGAUCAGGAGUUUAUCAAUGUAAAAUUGUUUGCUUUUCAUUGUCUUGUUGUUUCAUUUUAAGCUAAAAUAGGUUUUAGGUUUCUUAAUUUUGGGUCAGAAUUGGUCUUUGUCUUCGUCUUGAUUCCUCUGCUUUAACUGUGCAAGCGCUAAGAAAGAGAAUUGGUGAGUGAAUUUUGUUACUCAAUCUAGUAAGAGGGAUGAAAUUCACCCAUUAUAAAAAAAAUACAAGUUAAAAGGACUAGGACCAAUUUUACGUGAAAUUGAGGAACUAAAACACGUUAUAUUA